rnacentral:rRNA from 1 species
GACGAACGCUGGCGGCGUGCCUAAUACAUGCAAGUCGAGCGAAUCAAUAGGAGCUUGCUCCUGUUGGUUAGCGGCGGACGGGUGAGUAACACGUGGGCAACCUGCCUGUAAGACUGGGAUAACACCGGGAAACCGGUGCUAAUACCGGAUAAUCCUUUUCCUCUCAUGAGGAAAAGCUGAAAGUCGGUUUCGGCUGACACUUACAGAUGGGCCCGCGGCGCAUUAGCUAGUUGGUGAGGUAACGGCUCACCAAGGCGACGAUGCGUAGCCGACCUGAGAGGGUGAUCGGCCACACUGGGACGGAGACACGGCCCAGACUCCUACGGGAGGCAGCAGUAGGGAAUCUUCCACAAUGGACGAAAGUCUGACGGAGCAACGCCGCGUGAGCGAAGAAGGCCUUCGGGUCGUAAAGCUCUGUUGUCAAGGAAGAACAAGUGCCAGAGUAACUGCUGGCACCUUGACGGUACCUGACCAGAAAGCCACGGCUAACUACGUGCCAGCCGCCGCAGUAAUAC